rnacentral:rRNA from 1 species
GAUGAACGCUGGCGGCGUGCCUAAUACAUGCAAGUCGAGCGAACAGACGAGGAGCUUGCUCCUCUGACGUUAGCCGCGGGCGGGUGAGUAACACGUGUAUCACCCACCUAUAAGACUGGGAUAACUUCGGGACACCGGCGCUAAUCCCGGAUAAUAUAUUGCACCGCAUGGUUCAAUAGUGAAAGUCGGCUGUGCUGUCACUUCUCGCUGGAUCCGCGCCGCAUUAGCUAGUUGGUAAGGUAACGGCUUACCACGGCGACGAUGCGUAGCCGACCUGAGUGGGUGAUCGGCCACACUGGAAGGGGGACGCGCUCCAGACUCCUGCGAGAGGGAGCAGUAGGGAACCUGCCGCAAUAGGGGAAAGCAUGACGGAGCAGCGGGGCGUGAGUGACGAAGACCUUCGGAGCGUGAUACUCGGUUACGAGGGAAGAACAAAUGUGUAAGUAACUAUGGCGGUCUUGACGGUACCGGAUCAGAAAGCCACGGCUAACUACGUG